CCCAGGGGCCACCCUUCCUCCUCCUUUGCCGCCUGAGAAAUGAUCCUCUUCUCAGGCGUCCAUCAGGGAAACGUUACGGACCCCGGAUUCUGAGGUCCGGCGUUCAAAAAAGGACCGCGAGCGUGAGGACUUUCUUCGGGUCCAGCCCCCACAGCCCACCAUCCCUGUUACUCAUCGGUCUUCCAAGAAGGCCUCAAAGAAGAAGUCUUUAUCCCCCUCUCCACCCCGGCAAGUUUUGUUUGAUGCUCCAUCCAACAGUCACUGCUCCCGGCCAUCCUCAGUUUCGCCGGGACGCUCUGCUGCCAGGCGCUCAGCUGGCCUGUUGUUGGCGGACGAUGCUGCCCCUCCUGUGCAACCCAGAAAUGAUGAAUGUGGCCGCAGCUGGCGACAACUCGAUGGAACAGGAUCCGCCUCCCGAAAGUUGUAGCGAUGUUCCCUCAAAACCUGGCCCUCCGUGGCCGUCGAGGUGACCAGCUCUUCACCUGUUUCGUUACCCCUUUCUCUGAUUCGCGAUGGCUCUGUUACAUUGGAAAAUAAGAGGUAUUCGAUCUAAUCUGGAAGAAUUACAACUGCUCCUCCACCUGCACUGUCUGCUCAUCAUUGGUCUCCAGGAAACAAGGUUACACCCAACUGACCGAUUGCUUUUACCCAUUAUAUCUCCGAGCGAUUUGACCUAACCCCUGUGGAUGGUAUUCCAGCUCAUAGUGGGGUCAUGUUGCUCGUUUGGGACGAUGUCUAUUACCAUCCCAUCCCUUUGACCACCCCACUCCAAGCAAUAGCUGUCUGUAUUACUCUUUCUGCCUUUGCUUUUUCUGUUUGUACUGUCUACACUCCAUUGUCAUCCACAGUUAGUCGGGCUGACAUGAUGCACCUGAUUGGUCAGCAUCCUGUGCAGUUUUUAUUGUUUGGCGACUUCAGUGCCCAUCAUCCCCUUUGGGGUUCUCCUGCAUCCUGUCAGAGAGGCUCCCUCUUGGUGUAUGUUUUCAACCAUCUCAAUCUUGUCUGCCCCAAUACUUUUCUCUCGGACUCUACUCAUACCUACUCCCACUUGGACCUCUCGAUCUGUUCUACCACUCUUGCCCGUUGGUUCGUGUGGUAUGUCCUUUCUGACACCUAUUCGAGCGACCAUUUCCCAUGUGUCGUUCAUCUCCUGCACCACACCCCAUCCCCACGUCCCUUGAGCUGGAACUUAUUGAAGGCUGACUGGGGACUUGACUCCUCCCUGGCGACCUUUCCGGACCAAAAUUUUCUCAGCUGUGACAGUCAGGUUGACUACCUCACAGCUCUUAUCAUCAAUGCUGCCAAAUGUUCCAUUCCUCAUACCACCUCUUCUUCACGUUGCGUUUCAGUCCCCUGGUGGAAUGAGGCUUGCAGAGACGCUAUCUGUGCUUGACAAAAUGCUUUACGCACCUUUCGCCGCCACCCUACGCUGGCGAAUUGUAUUAAUUACAAAAGACUCAGAGAGCAAAGUUUUUGAGUCCUCAAAGACAGUGAAAAAGCUUGUUGGGCCUCUUUCACAAGUUCCUUUAACAGUUUUACUCCCUCUUCUGUCGUCUGGAGUGGCCUGCACCGGCUGUCGGGCAUUAAGGCCCACUCCUCGAUAUCUGGCCUGACUUCAGGUAAUGAGGUACUUGUAGACCCUGUGGAUGUCUCUAACGCCUUCCUCCGCUUUUUCGCAGAGGUUUCAAGCUCUGCCCAUUACCACCCUGUCUUCCUUCCCAGAAAAGAGGCAGAAGAGGCUCAGCGACCUUCCUUACACUUACUGAUUCCGGAAGAUUAUAAUGCCCCCUUUACCAUGCGGGAACUCGAAUGUGCACUUUCACUGUCCUGGGGCCAGAUGCCAUUCACAUUCAGAUGCUGCCACACCUUUCUCCGGCGGGCAAAUGCUUUCUUCUUCGUACCCAUAAUCUAGUCUGGACUGAAGGUCAUGUUCCCAUGCGUUGGCGUGGGGUCGUCGUUGUUCCCAUACCCAAACCCAGGAAGGAUAGACACCUUUCUUCUAGUUACCGCCCCAUUUCCCUUACAAGCUGUGUCUGUAAGAUGAUGGAGCGCAUGGUUAACGCUCGGUUGGUUUGGAUUCUUGAAUCUUGACGGCUACUUACCAAUGUUCAAUGCAGCUUUCUUUGAUGCCGCUCUUGCUAUUGACCACCUUGUGACCUUGUCGACGUUCAUCAUGAACAACUUUUUGCAAAAGCGCCAAAUGGUAAUUGUGUUCUUCGAUUUGGAGAAGGCUUACAAUACCUGUUGCAGAGGAGGUAUCCUCCGCACUACGCUCAGGUGGGGCCUACGCGGUCGCCUGCCCCUUUUUAUUGAUCCAUUUUUAACAGAUCGAAUGUUUAGGAUACGUGUGGGUUCCGUAUUGUCUGACAUCUUCCUCCAGGAGAAUGGAGUGCCUCAGGGCUCCGUUUUGAGCGUAGCCCUUUUUGCCAUAGCGAUCAAUCCAAUUAUGAAUAGCAUGCCAUCUAAUGUCUCUGGCUCUCUUUUCGUCGAUGACUUCGCGAUCUACUGCAGUGCCCAGAGAACAUGCCUCCUGGAGCGCUGCCUUCAGCCUAUACUCAUGGUGUGUGGCUAAUGGCUUCCGGUUCUCUGAAGAGAAGACAGUAUGCAUCAACUUUUGGCGAUAUAAAGCAUUCCUUCCACCAUCCAUAUAUCUCAGUCCCAUUGUUCUGCCAUUUGUGGAGACAACAAAGUUUUUAGGGCUAACACUGGACAGGAAACUUUGUUGGUCUCCGCAUAUCUCUUAUUUGGCUGCCCGUUGUACACGUUCCCUUAAUGUCCUCCGUGUUCUUAGUGGUUCAUCUUGGGGAGCAAAUCGUACUGUCCUGCUUUGCUUAUAUCGGUCCAUAGUCUGAUCAAAGCUGGAUUAUGGGAGCCUCGUCUGCUCGGCCAUCCCUCUUAUGCCAUCUCAACUCCAUCCAUCAUCGGGGGUUGCGUCUUGUGACUGGAGCAUUCUAUAGCAGUCCCGUUGAGAGUCUUUAUGCUGAAGCUGCCAAAUUACCACUGACCUGCUGGCGCGACGUACUGCUUUGUUGGUAUGCCUGUCAGCUGUUGUCAGUGCCGACCACCCUUAUUAUCAGUCCUUCUUCGACGAUUCUCUUGACUGUCAGUAUGGGUUGUAUGUCAGCCCUGCUGCCCCCUGGAGUCCGCUUUCAUCGCCUGCUUCAACAAUUAGAUUUUGCCCUCACUACGACCUUCAGAGAGGGGGAGAGCGCAACACCACCUUGGCUCCAGGCUCCGGUUCACAUUCAUCUUGACCUCAGCUUGCUCCCGAAGGAGGCUACUCCAGAUGCAGUGUAUUGCUCACGGUUUGUUGAACUUCGUGCGCGACUCACCAGUAACACCUUUAUUUACACUAAUGGCUCCAAAACUGACGAUGGUGUCGGCUGUGCCUUUGUCGUCGGGGACGUCACCUUUAAAUACCGGCUCCUUGAACAGUGUUCCAGCUUUACGGCCGAGCUUUUUGCUCUCUAUCAGGCUGUUCAGUAUGUCUGCCGCCACCACCAUUCUCUGUAUGUACUCUGCUCUGAUUCACUCAGUGCUCUUCAGAGAUUCGGAGCUCCAUAUCCGGUCCAUCCCUUGGUGCAACGGAUCCAGCAAUCCCUCCAUUCUUUUGCUGAUGAUGGCUGUCCUGUUAGCUUUAUGUGGGUUCCAGGCCAUGUAGGAGUGCCUGGGAAUGAGGCUGCUGAUGUUGCGGCCAAAGCUGCAGUCGUCCUGCCUCGGCCAGCCUCACUUUGUGCCCAUCGUCUGAUAUUAGUGGGGUUAUUUGUAAGAGGUUUGUGUCAUUAUGGCGGGAUACUUGGUCGUCACUUCAAGGAAAUAAGCUCCGGGUCAUAAAACCAUUCCCAACUGCUUGGACAACCUCCUCCCAACCAUCUCAGUAAGAGGAGGUCAUUUUGGCCAGGUUGCGAAUUGGGCAUUGCUGGUUUAGCCACCACUACCUGCUCUCCGGUGACCCAGCCCCGCAGUGCCCUUGUGGUCAUGCAUUGACAGUGCGCCAUGUUUUAUUGUCGUGUCCCCGUUUUAAUCAAUCUCAUGUUGUUCUGUCUCUGCCGUCUACCUUACAGGAAAUUUUAGCUGACGACGCUUGAGCAGCUGCUCGUGUUCUUCGUUUUAUUACUUUGACGGACUUGUGCAAAGACAUCUAACCCUUUUAAUUAUUUUAUCUGCAUCCUUGUAAGAACUUUCUGGUGUCCCCCCCCCCCCCUCCCCAACCCCUUGAUUUUACCAGAUUAUAUGUGCACUUACAUUUGUGAUUGGACGCUAAUGACCUUAGUAG